rnacentral:rRNA from 1 species
UAUGCUGUCAAGAUUAACAGCCCCAUGCAUGUCCUAAGUAUAACCGAUUUAUACAGUGAAACAGCGAACGGCUCAUUAUAUCAGUUAUAGUUUCUUCGAUAGUGUUUUUUAGAAGGAUACUCGUGGCAAAUCUAGAAACAAUACAAGCUUAUAGGCCCGACUUUUUGGGAGGGCUGCAUUUAUUUGAUAUAAACCAAUACCUUUCGAGGUUGUUUUGGUGAUUCAGAAUAACUAAGCGAACCGCAGUGGUCUUUGUCCCGCCGUGGAUCCUUUCAAUUUCCGCCCCCUCCACCGUCCAACGGUAUUGUUUUGAAUUACCUGGCCCUCCCCGGUGAACGAAAAAUUAGGGUUCAUUUCCGAAAAGGAACCCGAAAAAACGGCACCCCCUCCCAAGGAAGGCACCAGGCCCUUAAUUUACCCAUGGUUACUCCACCAAAUUAUGGCCAAAAAUUCCCCUUCCGUGCACUCCAUGGAUUUCCAUGGUGAUGGAAACCAUGGUAAAACCCCCUCCAAGAAUCAUUUGAAGGGCAAUCCGGUGGCCACCACCCCCGUUAUUUCCACCCCCAUAACCUAUAUUUACCUUUGUUCCAUUUAAAAACCUCUAAUUUAAACUUUUGUUAGGGCCAACCGGCCCUUGGCGCCUGGCCCUUGUUUUGCCUGUGUCCUAACCGGGCAUUCCUUCAAUUCUUUUUUUUGGGGGGGGACCCUUUCCGGUAAUUAAACUGGAUUGCCCAAACAAAACGUUUGUUGGUCAGUCAAGCCUGGAAUAAUAAAAAGGACUGGGUCCCAUUUUUUUUGUUUGCUAACUAGGUAUUGUUUACAGGAACGGUGGGGGUUUCUUAUUUUUUUAAAAGGGAAAUUCUUCCUUUUUGAAUAACAAACAACCCCCAACCCUUCCCAUGUAUCUUUCGUUUUUCCAAAAAAAAAAAGGGAUCGGGGGGAUUAAAUUAAUUCCAUCCUUUAGUUAACAAAACAAAUUUGGUUGGCCCCGUUUUUUCACCCUUGGGAAGGCCCCGCCAAAAAAAAAAUAAAAUUUGGUUGGGUCCCGGGAAAAAAUUCCCGGGCCCUAUUUUGGGGUCCCAAAAGGACACCCCAAUAAUUUUUCCCCCCUUUUUUUUUUCAAAGGGAAAAUUCCCCCCCCCCGGGGGAAGAUUCAAACAAUACCCUCUCUCUUGUGGUGGGGGGGGGCCCCCCUUUUUAAGGGGGGGGUUUGGUUUUCCUUUCCCCCCAAAACCAAAAAAUUUUUGCCGCGUUGAGAUGGGUUUGCCCCCCCCCCCCCCCAAAAAUCCCUAAGAAGGGGGGGGAAAAUUUUUUU